AAAUAACUAUUGAACGUAACCGACAACGAAAAAUAUGAGAAACAUUUUUUAAACUUUUUGAAGAUGACGUAUAUACAAACAUCGCAGAUACUAAAAAGAUAUUUUGAACAGUUCUAUACUUGUACGAUGAAAAAGUAGCUUGAGAACUUUAUAUACUAUGUGGAUUAUCCAACAUUACAGUUUCAGCCGUGUAUUAUGACGUGAUGUCUAGAUUAACUGUCGAUUUUUGGUCAAUGUAAAUUUUUCAUUAGGUAUGUAUAAUAUUUAUACUUAAACGUAUACCGGUUUUUAAUCUUGUCCUGCACGUCCAAAAAUUGCCUUUUACCUAUGACCGUACACUCUUUUUGGACCGUGCCAUUCAUCCGAACAUAGAACAGAAAUACGAACAGGUUAUCUCCAAAUUCGAUUUACGUACAUGUGAAACAACUAACAAUAGGAAAUAUUUCAUAAUCGUCUCUUUCUUUCAUUUAAUUUCUAAUCCCAUUGCUGCGGCCACACACAUAACUUGCCAUCAUAUCCAGGUAAUGAGGUAAAUAUCAAUACAUUAGAAGUAUAAGUAAGGUUCAUACAUGCGUUUGACUUGGGUCAUUUACCCUCGGGAAUUUAGUAAAAUUUAAC